GUAGGUAUGUACAACAGGUACAUUUCAUUAUCCCAUAUAUGUUCCAUAAUCACAUAUGAAUUCCAUAUAAUUAGUUUAUGCUAUCUAUUUCAACGAUAAAACUAUUUUUAUUUUCUUUUAGAUAUUACUGUGGCCGUGUGUUUUCUGAAAAUCUCUUAUUUCAGUGUCUCUUAUCUUUCAAAUGGGCCUCGAGGUUCCUAAGAUAAAACUAGCUAUCUCGUAUGGUAUAUGUUUGUCCACUGCCCCAUUUGGAUUAAACAGUCUAUAAUGCAGAUUCAUCAAUUAAAAAGCAUGACAUGGAUGAGCUAUCUAAAGGUCUGUGCUUAAUCUAGCAAAUCGAAUAGGUAUUUGUAGUAGGUACAUAGUUAUUGGAUUUUACGAUACAAUUAUUAAGAUAUUAACUAAUAUUAUUCAACCCUUGGGAAAGGAUUUAAUAGUUAAUUGUUUUACAAGGGGGCAAAGUUGUUGUUUAACCGCUCGUGCUAAUAUUGAUACCCGAGCAAGCGCAAGAUUCCAUAAUUGAACCACGAGCGUAGCGAGUGGUUCGAAAAAAGGAAUCUAGAGCGUUGCGAGGGUUUCAAAGCACGAGGGUUAAACAAAAUUUGCCCCUGAGUGAAACACAAAAUUUUUCACCACACCAACCCGAAGCAAAUAUUAAAUGUAAAAUAUCAAACAAAAUCAAAUCCAAAUGAAUGUUAUUAAAUAUUUAUCAUCCAAAAUCAUCAUUUAAAAGUCAAGUCUACCAGCAAACAUAAGAAAACAACUCAAAAUUUGCAUUUGAUUACUUUGUCUCACAUGUGAAUAAAAUGCAACUUUGCUAUCAGUUUUUGAAGUGUAAAGUAAGCCUUUCCGAGCUGGUGUGGUGAAAAAAAUCUUUUAUUGUUUUGGUACAUACUUACAGAUUUUAGAUUUAUUUAUAAUAAUCAUUAUUAAUAUUAUUAUUUUGUUACCCGGAUGUGAGUCAGUGCGGGUUUGAAUAAGUAUGUACAGUCAAGUGUAAAAAUAUGGGUGCAUAUGUAUAUAACUUCUCAAAAAUAUGUUCGAUAGUUCUUAAUUCACUGACAUUCUUAUGUGCUAUGCUAUGGUCCAUAUUUUUGAGUAUGAUGUGCGCAACCAUAUUAUUACACUUGAUUACCUAUGGUGGAAUAAAAUGAAGUUUUAUUUUUAGUUUUUUAAAUAUGAAACUUAUAUUGCGUAUUUUAUUGUGUAUAAAGAUUGAUUUUUUGCCAUGUUUUGCUUUUUAUUGGCCCGUUUGACUUGUUAUUUAUUAUAAUUCCAAAUUCAAAAUGGAAUACCAUUUUAUAAAAUUUUUCUUAUUUUAGUAAACUUCGCCGUUAUUUUUUUGCGGCGAUUCGCUUUUCCAAUUUUUACACAUCCUCUGAAUAGGUAACAAUCUCAUUGACUGCUAAAAGCUACGAGACCUAACGAAUUUGGCAAAAAUAAUUAAAAGCAUAGAUUUAUAAGGCAUAGAUACCUAGUCCGUAUACCCCCAGUGAAGCCAUUUCAAGUGCGACGUCACGUCGCACUCGUAUCAUCGUAUUCGAACGGCCCUCGCAGUACUCAAAGUAAAUCGGUUUGUGUACACCUCCCGUUUAAAAAUCAGAAACUACAGGAAAGAUGGUUGUUUGUACAGUGCAUGGGUGUCACAACACAUCAUAUAAUAAAAACAAACCGCCUGAUAUUACAUUUCACGCGUAAGUAUCGAGUUUAAUGUGAUAUUUUUACAUAAUCGUAAAUACAAAAAUCCAAAUUUUCGUCAGCCGCCAUUUCUUAUAAAUGUUGCCAGUUGAUAUGAAU